GCCUCUGUAGCUCAGUGGUAGAGCGCGUGCAUGGUAAGCACGAGGUCGCGAGUCCAAUUCUCGCCGGAGGCU
rnacentral:tRNA from 1 species